rnacentral:rRNA from 1 species
UGCAAGUCGUACGCUUCUUUUUCCACCGGAGCUUGCUCCACCGGAAAAAGAGGAGUGGCGAACGGGUGAGUAACACGUGGGUAACCUGCCCAUCAGAAGGGGAUAACACUUGGAAACAGGUGCUAAUACCGUAUAACAAUCGAAACCGCAUGGUUUUGAUUUGAAAGGCGCUUUCGGGUGUCGCUGAUGGAUGGACCCGCGGUGCAUUAGCUAGUUGGUGAGGUAACGGCUCACCAAGGCCACGAUGCAUAGCCGACCUGAGAGGGUGAUCGGCCACAUUGGGACUGAGACACGGCCCAAACUCCUACGGGAGGCAGCAGUAGGGAAUCUUCGGCAAUGGACGAAAGUCUGACCGAGCAACGCCGCGUGAGUGAAGAAGGUUUUCGGAUCGUAAAACUCUGUUGUUAGAGAAGAAUAAGGAUGAGAGUAACUGUUCAUCCCUUGACGGUAUCUAACCAGAAAGCCACGGCUAACUACGUGCCAGCAGCCGCGGUAAUACGUAGGUGGCAAGCGUUGUCCGGAUUUAUUGGGCGUAAAGCGAGCGCAGGCGGUUUCUUAAGUCUGAUGUGAAAGCCCCCGGCUCAACCGGGGAGGGUCAUUGGAAACUGGGAGACUUGAGUGCAGAAGAGGAGAGUGGAAUUCCAUGUGUAGCGGUGAAAUGCGUAGAUAUAUGGAGGAACACCAGUGGCGAAGGCGGCUCUCUGGUCUGUAACUGACGCUGAGGCUCGAAAGCGUGGGGAGCAAACAGGAUUAGAUACCCUGGUAGUCCACGCCGUAAACGAUGAGUGCUAAGUGUUGGAGGGUUUCCGCCCUUUCAGUGCUGCAGCUAACGCAUUAAGCACUCCGCCUGGGGAGUACGACCCGCAAGGUGA